rnacentral:rRNA from 1 species
AUGGAUGUCUUCCGACUGGAGUCGCGUGUUGCAGCUGUCGUGGACUAUCUCGCAAGGCUGAAGGCCGCCACAUCUCGCAUCGACUCGACGCUCUGGCCUGAGGAGACACUUCAGAAUGACCUUGAGUCGCUGAUGGCCCGCUUGAACACGAUCCCUGGUCGAGUGCAAGAGUGGAAGAAGUCCUCGGCUCGGUGUGGUGCAGAUGUCGCUCUGUGUCUGGCCCGAGUCCACUGCAAAGAUGCACGAGAGGAGAAGCUGGCGGCCCUUCGGGUGGCCAAUACCAAGAAGCACGACUUCAGGUCCUUUAUGGAGACUUUCCUUGCAGCUGCCACUCGGAUCGCCGACGGAAUUGACCUUGAUGAAUUCGUUGCACCUUCCAGCCCUCCGCAGGAGGGGUAA